CUCGCUUACGCCCAAACUUCCGGUCCCCGGGGCCCUCUACAGACUGCUCAGGUCCCCGUGGCUGCCUUCCUCCACCAAACCGGGAGCUCCCGCACCCAGCCUUCCACGGAGGAGGUGCUGAACAAGGGUUUUCUGGGGGUCCAGUAAGUUGUGCGACGCCCAAGAACUGGGAGCCACCCAAAGGCCUUUGAAAACACGAGGGGUGAUGUGCGAGUUGAGAGAGAAAGGAAGACUUUACCUCAGGUGCCUGGAGUCCUCGGGGAGCAUGGAGCUGGCAGUCCUCCCGUUCCCUUCUGGAUCACCUGCUCUCUGGACCUGUUGCAGAGUUGUCAUUGGGGACUCUCCUCUAUCACCCUAGGGUUUACCUUUCCCAUUCUCCUGUCUGGAGGCCUCUUCCUGGGAUCCACGUUUUUCUCUUUUUGUCGCUUUUCCUCAUAUCUUCUACUACAUAUCCAGUCACUUCCUGAGAAGGCUGAAUGUGCCUUGUAGGUCUAAAAAUAUCUUUAUUCUAUCCUCAUACUUGAAUUGUAGUGCAGGUGGGAAUUUAACUCUAGGUUGAAAAUAAAUUUCCUGCAGAAUUUUGUCUUCUAA